GAUGAACGCUAGCUACAGGCUUAACACAUGCAAGUCGAGGGGUAACGAGAGGGAAGCUUGCUUUCCUUGUCGACGACCGGCGCACGGGUGAGUAACGCGUAUCCAACCUGCCCCCAACUAGGGAAUAACCUUGCGAAAGUAAGACUAAUACCCUAUAAUUUCCUCAGAUGUCAUCUGACGAGGAAUAAAGAUUUAUCGGUUGUGGAUGGGGAUGCGUCUGAUUAGCUUGUUGGCGGGGUAACGGCCCACCAAGGCAACGAUCAGUAGGGGUUCUGAGAGGAAGGUCCCCCACAUUGGAACUGAGACACGGUCCAAACUCCUACGGGAGGCAGCAGCGAGGAAUAUUGGCCAAUGGGCGGAAGCCUGAACCAGCCAAGUAGCGUGCAGGAUGACGGCCCUAUGGGUUGUAAACUGCUUUUAUACAGGAAUAAAGUUAGCCACGUGUGGUUAUUUGUAGGUACUGUAUGAAUAAGGACCGGCUAAUUCCGUGCCAGCCGCCGCGGUAA
rnacentral:rRNA from 1 species